GUUUGCACUCAUCGGGGAAGGGUGAGAAUCUUCGACUAAGGUUCGAUUCGAGCGAAAGCGAGAGAACGUUGCCACAGGCAACGGCCCGAAGGGUGAGGAGCGAAGCGACGAAUAAUCCUUCCCCCACCACCA
rnacentral:sRNA from 1 species